UAAGUGAGAAUACUUUUGUCUUUUCCUCUGUGUCUCUGUUAUGGUUGCAGAGAGGUAGAGAGCAAAACUGAACCAAUCUCCACGACCUUUGCUUCCUCCAAUCCAGUCCUUUUACUAAUUUCAAAAUUCCAGAAUAAGGUGUGAGCAAUGCCGGCAAAACCUGGGAAUGAUGAUCGGCAGAUAGAUAAUGGUGCUCAAAGGGUGUUGCAGUCAACUUCAUACUCUGAACCCUGGUGGAAAGGAGUUGGGACUAACCCCUUUGGUGAAUCUGCCUCUAAGUCACCUUCCGUAGAACAACUAAAUGGUUCAAUGGAAAACGGAGCUGUAGAUUUGCUGCCUCAUAGUGGCUUAGGCAAUGAAGAUAGGAGAAAUGGACAAGAUCGCCAACAUCUCAAGCAUGUUCCUUCCGCAACACCCCUUACUUUGGGUGAACACCAUGAACCUAAUUCUCAAAUGGAACUAGUUGGUCACUCAAUUGUCUUGACAUCAUAUCCUUAUUCAGAUUCUCAGCAUGGUGGAAUACUUACUCUUUAUGGGCCACAAAUGAUGGUGCCACCACAUCUAUACGGAAUGCAUCAUGCUAGAAUGCCUUUGCCUCUUCAAAUGGAAGAGGAGCCUGUCUAUGUAAAUGCAAAGCAGUAUCAUGGAAUUCUGAGGCGAAGACAGAUACGUGCCAAGGCAGAGCUUGAAAAGAAAGCCAUUAAAGUUAGAAAGCCGUACCGUCAUGAGUCCCGACAUCUACAUGCUAUGAGAAGGGCUAGGGGUUGUGGAGGUCGUUUUCUUAACACAAAGAAGCUGACUGACGAUGUUAUUAGUCUCACCUCAGGAAAGGGCAAGAAUUCGGGUGAAAAUGUCUUUUCUGGAUCCGAGCGUGAAUCUGCCAACAGUGCUGGAAAUAUGAAUUCCUCCUUUGGUCAGCAAGAAGGAAAUUGUGCAAGGGAUAUUGCAAGCGGGUAUGGGGCAUGACAUGGGGCCCCUUCUAUUAAAUGAAAUUUCUCCUUGAGGUGGGUGAUUCUCGCCAGCAGGCAGCACUGGAGGUAUUCGGUCCUUCGAUCUUGGGUGGCGGCGGAAUCCCUCUCAGGCAAUUCAUUCUUGGCUUGGUUACUGAUGGUUAAGGGGGUUAUGAGGAGAAAUGUGGUCUUUUGUUUCAUCUUCACUUUGGUAAAAAUAGUUUGAACUUCAACAUGCCUCCCUUCGGACCCUUUUGUAAAAUAAUGAAAAAAAUAGGUGUUGUAUGUACCGAGUGGCAAACAGUUGUGAAUGUGCAAAACAUAAAACAGAUUAAGUUGAGUGUGUAUAAGGGCGUGGAGACGUGUAAGAGCUUUAAACUUUUCCAGCAGUGCGGCCUUAAUAACGUAAAUGGUCUCUCUAUGUUU